rnacentral:rRNA from 1 species
GACGAACGCUGGCGGCGUGCCUAACACAUGCAAGUCGAACGGGGUAGAGAGCUUCGGUUUUCUACUUAGUGGCGAACGGGUGAGUAACGCGUGAGGAACCUGCCUUUCAGUGGGGGACAACAGUUGGAAACGACUGCUAAUACCGCAUGAAACUUUCUGGGGGCAUCCCUGGAAAGUCAAAGAUUUAUUGCUGAAAGAUGGCCUCGCGUCUGAUUAGCUAGUUGGCGGGGUAACGGCCCACCAAGGCGACGAUCAGUAGCCGGUCUGAGAGGAUGAACGGCCACAUUGGGACUGAGAUACGGGCCCAGACUCCUACGGGAGGCAGCAGUGGGGAAUAUUGGGCAAUGGGGGAAACCCUGACCCAGCAACGCCGCGUGAAGGAAGAAGGGCCUUCGGGUUGUAAACUUCUUUUACCAGGGACGAAGGACGUGACGGUACCU